rnacentral:rRNA from 1 species
GACGAACGCUGGCGGCGUGCUUAACACAUGCAAGUCGAACGGAAAGGCCCUGCUUUUGUGGGGUGCUCGAGUGGCGAACGGGUGAGUAACACGUGAGUAACCUGCCCUUGACUUUGGGAUAACUUCAGGAAACUGGGGCUAAUACCGGAUAGGAGCUCCUGCUGCAUGGUGGGGGUUGGAAAGUUUCGGCGGUUGGGGAUGGACUCGCGGCUUAUCAGCUUGUUGGUGGGGUAGUGGCUUACCAAGGCUUUGACGGGUAGCCGGCCUGAGAGGGUGACCGGCCACAAUGGGACUGAGAUACGGCCCAGUGUCCUACGGGAGGCAGCAGUGGGGAAUAUUGCACAAUGGGCGGAAGCCUGAUGCAGCAACGCCGCGUGCGGGAUGACGGCCUUCGGGUUGUAAACCGCUUUCGCCUGUGACGAAGCGUGAGUGACGGUAAUGGGUAAAGAAGCACCGGCUAACUACGUG